UGUAUAAUGGGUCAGCGACUUAUAUUCAGUAGCAAGGUUAACCGUAUAGGGGAGCCGUAGAGAAAUCGAGUCUUAAUAGGGCGUUUAGUUGCUGGGUAUAGACCCGAAACCAGGCGAUCUAUCCAUGAGCAGGUUGAAGGUUGGGUAACACUAACUGGAGGACCGAACCCACUGUCGUUGAAAAGCCAGGGGAUGACUUGUGGAUAGGGGUGAAAGGCUAAUCAAGCCUGGUGAUAGCUGGUUCUCCCCGAAAGCUAUUUAGGUAGCGCCUCGGACGAAUACCAUAGGGGGUAGAGCACUGUUUCGGCUAGGGGGUCAUCCCGACUUACCAAACCGAUGCAAACUCCGAAUACCUAUGAGUACUAUCCGGGAGACAGACUGCGGGUGCUAACGUCCGUAGUCAAGAGGAAAACAAUCCAGACCGCCAGCUAAGGCCCCAAAAUCAUAGUUAAGUGGGAAACGAUGUGGGAAGGCAUAGACAGCUAGGAGGUUGGCUUAGAAGCAGCCACCCUUUAAAGAAAGCGUAAUAGCUCACUAGUCGAGUCGGCCUGCGCGGAAGAUGUAACGGGGCUAAAACUAUGUGCCGAAGCUGCGGAUGUAUACUUUGUAUACGUGGUAGGGGAGCGUUCUGUAAGCCGAUGAAGGUGUGUUGAGAAGCAUGCUGGAGGUAUCAGAAGUGCGAAUGCUGACGUGAGUAACGACAAAACGGGUGAAAAACCCGUUCGCCGAAAGACCAAGGGUUCCAGUCCAACGUUAAUCGGGGCUGGGUGAGUCGACCCCUAAGGCGAGGCCGAAAGGCGUAGUCGAUGGGAAAAUGGUUAAUAUUCCAUUACUUCUGUGUAAUGCGAUGAGAGGACGGAGAAGGCUAAAUCAGCCUGGCGUUGGUUGUCCAGGUGAAAGGAUGUAGGCAUGUAUCUUAGGCAAAUCCGGGGUACUCUAUGCUGAGAUCUGAUAGCAAGCUGUACUUGUACAGCGAAGUGGUUGAUGCCAUGCUUCCAGGAAAAGUCUCUAAGCUUCAGUUACACAGGAAUCGUACCCGAAACCGACACAGGUGGUCAGGUCGAGUAGACCAAGGCGCUUGAGAGAACUCUGCUGAAGGAACUAGGCAAAAUGGUACCGUAACUUCGGGAGAAGGUACGCUGUUGUUGGUGAUGGAACUCGCUUCCUGAGCUGACGACAGCCGCAGAAACCAGGCCGCUGCAACUGUUUAUUAAAAACAUAGCACUCUGCAAACACGAAAGUGGACGUAUAGGGUGUGAUGCCUGCCCGGUGCUGGAAGGUUAAUUGAUGGGGUUAGCGUAAGCGAAGCUCUUGAUCGAAGCCCCAGUAAACGGCGGCCGUAACUAUAACGGUCCUAAGGUAGCGAAAUUCCUUGUCGGGUAAGUUCCGACCUGCACGAAUGGCAUAAUGAUGGCGGCGCUGUCUCCAGCAGAGGCUCAGUGAAAUCGAAAUCGCUGUGAAGAUGCAGUGUACCCGCGGCUAGACGGAAAGACCCCGUGAACCUUUACUGCAGCUUGACACUGAACUUUGACCUUACUUGUGUAGGAUAGGUGGGAGGCUUUGAAGCUGGAACGCUAGUUCCAGUGGAGCCGUCCUUGAAAUACCACCCUGGUAAUGUUGAGGUUCUAACUCUGUCCCGUGAUCCGGGACGAGGACCGUGUCUGGUGGGUAGUUUGACUGGGGCGGUCUCCUCCUAAAGAGUAACGGAGGAGUACGAAGGUGCGCUCAGCGUGGUCGGAAAUCACGCGUAGAGUAUAAAGGCAAAAGCGCGCUUAACUGCGAGACCCACAAGUCGAGCAGGUACGAAAGUAGGUCUUAGUGAUCCGGUGGUUCUGUAUGGAAGGGCCAUCGCUCAACGGAUAAAAGGUACUCUGGGGAUAACAGGCUGAUACCGCCCAAGAGUUCAUAUCGACGGCGGUGUUUGGCACCUCGAUGUCGGCUCAUCUCAUCCUGGGGCUGAAGCAGGUCCCAAGGGUAUGGCUGUUCGCCAUUUAAAGAGGUACGCGAGCUGGGUUUAGAACGUCGUGAGACAGUUCGGUCCCUAUCUACCGUGGGCGCUGGAAAUUUGAGAGGAUCUGCUCCUAGUACGAGAGGACCAGAGUGGACGAACCUCUGGUGUACCGGUUGUGACGCCAGUCGCAUCGCCGGGUAGCUAUGUUCGGAAGGGAUAACCGCUGAAAGCAUCUAAGCGGGAAGCCUACCUCAAGAUAAGAUUUCCCUAGGACUUUAUGUCCUCUAAAGAGCCGUUCGAGACUAGGACGUUGAUAGGUUGGAUGUGGAAGCAUAGUGAUAUGUGAAGCUGACCAAUACUAAUUGCUCGUGAGGCUUGACUAU
rnacentral:rRNA from 1 species